UGGGAACAACGGACGGAACACCAGUGCAAUCAGUUUCACAUUAUUUUGCGAAUGACAAUAAGGAGCAUGGCGGAAGGAGAUUGCAUCACCAGUGGCAUUGACAAAGAGUCGAAUUACCAAACGCUUGCGCUUGCUGGGAUUUACCCACGUUAUGACUCAAUCAGACAAAUUCGGGUUGUCCCGAUUUUACUCUAUCAGACGACUGCCAUCGGAUCUUGCUGUGUCUCAGGCAGACGGCGACACCAACACACCUCGACUUCUACGAUCACUUGGCUUUAUCCCCUCAAAUCACUUUUGGAAAAAAGCGGAACCAGAAAAAGUGUCACCGGCCAACGUGACCGGAUACACUCGUGACCGUGGCGACGACAACAGCGAUGCGCUGCGGAAAUGGCGCUCGGUAGAGGAAGUUCCUUCGAGCAUUGCUUGAGGUCACGGGGGAAGUAGCUUCAGCAGGGAUACCUAGACUUCCCUUUCCCCAGCCACUUCUUCCAGCUCUUCCGGAGGGAUCCCGAGGCGUUCCCACGCCAGCCCAGAGAAUCCGAAUCCGAUUUAAUGGCCAAGUGUAAAAAACGCACAGGGAAUUUUUCUCCAGCAGUCGGAGCUGCAGAACUGCAUUCGCCCGCCUGAUGUGGAUGCGCUAAAGAAGGACGUAAUGGAACUACCGGACGCUGCAGAAGGUAAAGUAUUGUAAUUUCUUGAAAAUAAUGCACAAAUUUUUCCAAGAAUAUUUUCAAAAAGUUAGUAGAGCGCAUUAUAUUUAGGUAUGGAUGAAAAAUAAAAAAUACAAUCAGAUUUUAUAGUUGUAUAUGGGUACAUAGAGUGGUAAAAAAAUGGUAUACAUAUACAUUUCGAUAUGAUAUUCGAUGUCUUCUGUUACACAUUUAUAUUUAUUACGGUAAUGCAUUUGACGCCAUCAUUGAGCAUUUAUUUGAGUUGGUUGAGGGAUUCAGUUCUGACAAUUACAGGGACCGGGACAAACGUGUCCUGCGGCCCGUCCCGAGAUUAUAUUACGGCUACAUCAGCACGUGCACAACGAUUAUUAUUAAUGACUGUUAUACAGACGUAUUUUUUAUACACAAUACAAGUACAAAGCUAACAAAAUAUAAACACAGAUAGUUCCCAAUAUUUUGAGCAUAUGGGCAGCAGCAAAUUAGUGGUGCGCAUUGUACAUUGGUAGAAGGGUUUUCCUGAUUUUUUUUUUUUUUUUUUCGGUCAACUUUGGGGGUGCGUAUUAUAUUUUAGGACGCAUUAUACUCGAGAAAUUACAGUAACAUUUUUAGAGUCAUCGUUAAUAUAUUUAUUAUGGACUUGCAACAAAGUCAAAGUAUCGCUUCGAAGAGUCUUGUUCACAGGACGAGCUCCUACACAGAUGCAACUUCCUACAAGUGGCCAAGGACAACUCCAUCAUAACCAAAGAAUGUGCUAAAUCAUCAUCGAACGAUGUGCCACAUCAUCAUCCGAGAAUGCACCUUUGUUCAUUUCAUCUGCUCACAAAAGAGUCCGUGAGAGGCUGGUUCAGAACGUGUUUGGAGACUGUAACUGGCCUGUCUCUCACGUCCUCCUGAUCAGAAGAAAGACGACUUCCUGUCCGUUAUUUGUGCAACUAUUCCGGCAAGUUAGGUGAUAAACCUAACAAACAUUUGCAUAAUUGUCUUCCAGGCGAUGACGUGAAAGGCGACACAAAUGGCUUGAACGGGCGGAACUUAUUACAACGCUUGGAUCACGUAAUUUUGUGUUUAAGCGCUUAAUGCUCCUUGGUUUUAACGGUUCAAAGCUCGACCCCCCCCCCCCCCCACCCACCUAAAGCAAAACAGGCAGAGUGAUUCCUUGCUUGGAAACCCGAGCAGCGCCACCUACAACUUUCCCCGAAAUGUGUCGGGCCGUUCCGUUCGAGUAGUUCAAUCCUCGCUGCUUUUUCUUUACCUUUCCUGAAGAUUUUCCUGCUCUUGUUCGCCAGCAGCUGGAGACACGACAGCG